rnacentral:tRNA from 1 species
AAAAGUUUUAAGUUAAAAUUAAAACUAUUAGCCUUCAAAGUUGAAAAUAUAAGCAUUAAACUUU